rnacentral:lncRNA from 1 species
UGAGAUGGACCCACUCGGGAAGAGAGAUCGCCGUGGGUGAUUCUGAAGGACAGAUUGUCAUAUAUGAUGUGGGCGAGAUCGCUGUUCCCCGAAAUGAUGAAUGGGCAAGAUUUGGCCGAACACUCGCAGAGAUUAACGCAAGCCGAGCUGAUGCAGAGGAGGAAGCGGCUACCCGGAUUCCUGCCUAGGCCUGGAGGGUGGCCGUAGCCUUAUCGAGUCUGGCAAAGAGGAUGAAGUAGAUCCUAAACUAUUUGCAUGCUUCUGAUUAAACGAGAAUUAAAAGAAAACUCCAUGGAUAGACUGGGUUUAAUACAGGAAGCAAAGCUUACCGAGCCCUUUUAUAUUCUAUUCCCUUUGCUUUGGAUUGGUGUCAUUUUUAAUACAGCUGACAACUUUACAGAAUGCAGCCUUUUCUGAAUUCUAACACAUGGGUGUAUAUUGUUAAUUAUUCUUUUGGAUUCUUUUGAACUUGUACUACUAUAUAUAAUUAUUUCUAAAGCACAGACUAAGUGAGUUCUGCAUAUUUCUAAAGAGCCACAGUCCCUUAUUAUGCAAUACAGUACAUGGGUCCUUGUCAGUUAUGUCCUCACUGCCCUGAGUGAGUAGGAACAUUGUUCUUAGUGCCAGCAUGCAUUCGCCUACCUGUUUUAAGUUUCAUGUUGAUGCCGUUUUCCUUCUCUAUAGUUCAUGGUAGUUAUCUAUAAAUAAAAACAAAUAUGUGCUAACUUU